AUUUUCUCUCCUAAAACUCUCUGCUGAAAAUAAGAAUACAAUGGUGGCUAAAAGCUCUCCUGCCUCCUAACACUUAGGCAAGUAUAUAACUAUUAGGUUAAAAAUUCGUUAGGAGUAAUCUUGUAAUUUGGUGAAGCCUUGGGCUUAAAGUCGGCUGGAACCAAGUCACGCGUCUCGCGUCUCGACAUCGAUCGAUGGUACAGGAUGUACAUCGAUCGAUCAUAAUCUUCAAUCGUCAAGGCUUCUCUUCUAUAUCGAUCGACGGCACAUGAUGUGCAUCGAAUGAUUGCUUCUUCUUCGUAUCGACCUCUAAUGGUCAGCUCGGCUGAAAUCUCUUUUAAGCUCAUAAAUGCUCCAUAAUC
rnacentral:lncRNA from 1 species